rnacentral:misc_RNA from 1 species
AGGUGAACCUGCGGAAGGAUCAUUCAUAAUCAAGUGUUUUUAUGGCACUUUCAAAAAUCCAUAUCCACCUUGUGUGCAAUGUCAUCUCUCUGGGGGCUGCCGGCUGUCAAAAGCCGUGUGGUCACCUUCGGGAUUUAUAUCUACUCAGAACUUUAGUGAUUUUGUCUGAAACAUAUUAUGAAUACUUAAUUCAAAAUACAACUUUCAACAACGGAUCUCUUGGCUCUCG